GCCGCGUGAAGAAGCAGAUUUUCGUUUCUCUAAGUAAAAGUGUUAAAAUUGAAUUUUAAUAGUGUUUUAAAUUUAGAAAAUACGUUACUAAAGUGUUAAUACAAUAAUAUUCAAUGUUUGCUUUACUUAUACUAGUGUUUAUAAUAUUUAUUAUUAUGUUAAAAAGAAAUAAUGGCAAAAAAGUUGGUCAGAAAUAGAAAACAACAGAAUUGCCGACAGAAGUUUGUCCGUCCAAAGAAUAUCCUUAAUUUUCUGGAUCCUCUAAGAAACAUUUAAAAGUUUUAAGGAACAUAUCACCAUCUAAUAGACCAUGUUCGAAAGCUCCCAGCUCUCGUGUCCGAUAGCCAUCAUGUGCGUGUAUAUGAGUCAUAACACCAGACUAUAGCGUGACCGACGACGAAACGACCAAAACGUCAGCAACACAUCAAAAAAAAUAUUGUGUUUCAGCUGUUUUUUCUUCGUUUUUUUCGU